GUGGCUGAGCACUUGCCUGGCAUGCAAGAGGUUCUAGGUUCGAUUCCUAGC
rnacentral:tRNA from 1 species